AGUGUGUAGUGUCUGGGGUUGGUAGUGGGGUUAGUGUAGUGUUUAGUGUGUAGUGUCUGGGGUGGUAGUGGGGUUAGUGAGGUGUGUAGUGUGUGUAGUGUCUGGGGUUGGUAGUGGGGAUAGUGUAGUGCGUAGUGUGUAGUGUCUGGGGUUGGUAGUGGGGACAGUGUAGUGUGUUGUGUUUGGGGUUGGUAGUGGGGUAAGUGUUGUGUGUAGUGUCUAGGGUUGGUAGUGGGGAUAGUGAAGUGUGUAGUGUCUGGGGUUGAAGUGUGUAGUGUCUGGGGUUGGUAGUGGGAAUAGUGUAGUGUGUAGGUUCUGGGGUUGGUAGUGGGGAUAGUGUAGUGUGUAGUGUCUGGGGUUGGUAGUGGGGUUAGAGUAGUUGUAGUGUCUGGGGUUGGUAGUGGGGAUAGUGUAGUGUGUAGUGUCCGGGGUUGGUAUUGGGGUUAUUGUAGUGUGAGGUGUGUAGUGUCUGGGGUUGGUAGUGGGGUUAGUGUAGUGUGUAGUUUCUGGGGUUCGUAGUGGGGCUAGUGUAGUGUAUGGGGUAGGUUGUGGGGAUAGUGUAGUUUC
ensembl:lncRNA